UUUCUAAGUCAUUUUUCUUUAUGUCAUGGGAAUUGUUUGCCUAUAUACUUCAAUGUUUGAAAACAUGCAUAAGUGAUUUGAGAUUUUUCAUGGAAGUUUGAUAAAUAUGAAUGAUAAAUUGCUUUCAAAUUCCCAUGAUAAUGUCUUGAUACCCCAUAUCAUAUUGUGACCAACAAAAGAGAGCAUGAAUUUGAAAUAAUUAUUGUUCACCACUUGUAAAUGAUGAAGCACCUUGGUUUUUACAUGAUUAUGCAUAUGUGGAUGUAAUAUUGAUGACUUGCAAGUCGGGUAUGAUGAUACCCUAUAGAAUAUGAUAUGUGAUUGAAUCAGAUAAAAUUUGAAUGCGUUGAUUUUAUAUGAGAUAGGUGGAUGCCUGAAUAAGGCGUUUGAGUGUAAGGGAUCAUCGCUGAAAACCGUGUUUGCCGACACAGAAAUUUGGUACCAGGCUAAGUGAUCUUAUGUACUUGACUUUAUGUCAUUCCCAAAUUGGAACUAUAGGUAGGAGCCCAGGCUAAGUGAUCUUGGGCACUACCAUUGGGUUGAGACACCAUGCUUUGUAGUCUUGUGUGUCUCUCCCUCACUUAUACUCUAAUCUCGGUGGCAACCGAGGUUUGAUAGUUGGUGUAAAUUUUGUAGGGUAUUCCACCUAGCUCAGUUGCAUUUCAUUGUUGUUGAGAAACUAUUGCAUUACACUCAUGUGUUUUCAAAUGAUUUGAUAUGGAAUUGCUUUAUAAUGGCUCUCAACUAUAUUUUGUAAAAAAAAUAUUAUGUUUUGUUUUGAUAUCUCUGUGUGCCAGUACUUUUGUGCUGACCCCCUCCCCUCUCUAACCUCUCAGGUUCAGACGCCCAGUCUAAGGGUCAAGAGAAUUAGUAGAUCAUUUAGACAGAGUUGCAGAGACAAGUGGUGAGCCUUCUAUGUUUCGGAAGGUCUUAUGUCCUGCAGUCCUUUUAUCUUUUAUUUAGUUUUGGGGUCUACUAGGGGCCUUGUCCCAGUUUAUAUACAGUUACUUGACUCAGUCAUUUGUUGGAGAUUUUCGUAGACAGUUGUUUAGAGGUUAAUUGAUGUUGGGGGAACCUUAUUUCCCCGUUAUUGUUUCUUUUCAUAUUUAUGACCAUGUUUCCAAAUUAUUAUGUUUCUUCCGCAUUACUUUGAUCAUAUGAAUUAGGUGCAUGAUUACCAGACAGAUAGGGGUGUUUCGGACCUCCAUGGUUCGAAAUGCUCGUCAUGGCCAGGCCCUGAUUUGGGUUAUGAAAAACUUAGUAUCAAAGCACGGUUCAUGGUCUCAGGGUGUCUGCGAAAUCGCAUCGGGUAGAGUCCUGUUUAUGGGUGUGUAGUAUGCCACACUUAUAAGUAGGAGGCUGCUAGGUGUUUAGGAAAUUUUUCCCUUAUUUGUGAUGUAGUUCGUGCUUCAGAGUUUGAAUUGUCCCCUAAUCAAUAAUCACUUAUGUUUCAGAAACACAGUUAUUCCUCCACGUCAUAUCAUCAAUCAGAAUGCUCAGGCAGAUGAGGUCCUCCCACCCAUGGGAUGCGUACCCGUAACAGAGCUCACACCCCAGAACUUGUCCCUACUCCGGGAGUCCUUCCAGUCCUGACCAGUCCGCCUCGAGCUCUGUGGACUAAUGUCAACCAUCCCCCAACUGCUCAGGGAGAUAUUUCAAAUGCAGAAUUCAGAUGUUCUAUUCAUAUGUUGACACAGUUGGUUGCUAAGUAGGCUUAAUGAUCGGAAGUACAUCUGUUAUGUCUGAUGCUACUAGGGUCGGACAUUUCAUGAAGAUGAACCCACCUAAGUUCACUGGCAGCAAGGUGGAGGAAGAUCCAUAGGUGUCCGUGGAUGAGAUGGAAAAGAUCUUUAAGGUGAUGCAUGUGGAUGAGGUUGAAGGGAUGGAACUAGCAACCUAUCAGCUCAAGGACGUUGCGAAUCAGUGGUAUGCCGACUGGGAAGAUGUAAAAGGUGACAGUGUUCAGCCCACAGUUUGGGGCGAAUUUGUGGAAGCUUUCCUUGAUUGAUUCUUUCCUUUGAAGUUGAGGGAGACCAAAGCAAAAGAUUUUAUGAAUCUGAAGUAGGGCAGUAUGAGUUACCAGGAGUACACUUUGAAGUUUAAUAAACUAUCCUGCUAUGCACCAGAGUUGAAUAGUAAUAUGAGAGCCCAAAUGAGGAAAUUUGCAUCUGGCCUUGCUAAUAGCCUGGUACUUGAGUGCUAGGGGGCUAUGUUGAAUAAGGAGUUAGAGUUUGCUCGACUGACCAUUCAUAUGCAGUAGGUGGAUGAGAAGAAGACAAAGAUUGCUGAAUUUAGAGAGAAAGACAAAUAGGCUAAGAGAGCUAAAUCUGCAGACUAGCACUAGAGUCAGCUGCAGAGUGGUAACUGGGGUAAUAAGUGGUCAAAGAAGAAAAAGUUUUGGAAUAAUGCACAGUCAGCAGCCAGUGCCCCAGCACCCAGACCACCGACAAACAGACAAACUCAGAGUUUUCAAACUCCUCAUAGAUCCAAAGCUCUAGGUACACAUUCCCAGGGCAGUGUGGCCCAAAAGCAUUGUACUUAACCGCGGUGCGAGGUUUGCGGAAGGAAUCAUCUAUAGAAGUGCUGGUUUGAGGGGAGGAACUGCUAUACUUGUGGUAAAGUGGGUCACCUUCAAAGAGAUUGUCCUUCUACCGGAGGAAAUGCGGGGUGGGGUGGGGGGGGCUAAGUCCUAAGCCGCCUCCAUAGCUCCUCCUCCUAAGGGUGCCCCUUGAGCUACCGGGAGUGGUCGCAACCGGUUGUAUUCUUUGACUAACCGCCAGGAGACGGAAGCUUCACCAGAUGUUGUCACUGGUAUGUUACGAAUCUUUUCUCAUGAUGCUUAUGUAUUGUUUGAUCCCGUGUCUACUUUAUCUUAUGUGACCCCUUAUGUGGCUGUUGGUUUCGGGUUUGAGCCCGAAGUUAUUGUAGAACCCUUCUCGAUUUCUACUCCUGUAGGUGACUCUGUUGUUGCUAGAAUGGGCUAUAGAAAUUGUGUUGUGUCUAUUUAUAGUAGGGAAACUAUGGCAGAUCAUAUAGAACUUUAUAUGAUAGAUUUUGAUGCCAUCCUUGGGAUAGACUGGCUCUAUUCGUGCUAUGCCACACUCAAUUGCAGGACCCAAAAGGUCACUUUUUCUUUCCCGAAUGAGACACCAAUUGUAUGGGCAGGGAGUUCUGUGGAACCUAGAGGUUACUUUAUCUGUAGUCAGUCCCUGUAGUGAAUGAAUUCCCAGAAGUCUUUCUCAAGGAUCUCCCAGGGAUACCCUCUGAUAGGGAGGCAUUGAUGUAUUGCCAGACACUCGUCCUAUAUCUAAUCCGCCAUAUAGAAUGGCUCCCACGGAACUAAAGAAGUUAAAGGAAUAGCUUGCAGACCUCCUAGACAAAGGUUUUAUUCGUCCUAGUGUUUCCCAUGGGGUGCACCCGUGCUCUUCAUGCGAAAGAAGGUUGGGUCCCUUCGUAUAUGCAUAGACUACCGCCAGUUGAAUAAGGUCACGAUUAAAAAUAAAUAUCCUCUUCCUAGGAUUAACAACCUUUUUGACCAGCUUCAGGGUGCCAAGUGUUUUUUAAAAAUAGACCUUCAUUCGGGUUAUCAUCAGUUUAAAGUUAGGGAGUCAGACAUACCCAAGACAGCCUUCCAAACCCGAUAUGGUCACUACGAAUUUCUAGUCAUAUCCUUCGGGUUGACUAAUGCCCCUGUAGCCUUCAUGGAUCUUAUGAAUAGAGUGUUCCGUCAGUUUCUUGACUUGUUCAUCAUUGUAUUUAUUGAUGAUAUUCUGAUCUAUUCUAAGAGUAAAGAGGAUCACGCCAAUCACCUCCGAAUUAUUCUUCAGACCCUUAAGGAUCAUCAGCUGUAUGCCAAAUUUUCUAAGUGUGAAUUCUGGUUAGAUGUUAUUUCCUUUUUUGGGCAUAUGGUGUCCAGUGAUGGGAUAAGAGUGGAUCCUCAGAAAUUUGAAGCAGUGAGAAAAUGGCCCAAACUCAUGACUCCAACCGACAUUCGGAGCUUCUUGGGUUUGGUGGGGUAUUACAGAAGGUUCGUAGAGAGUUUUUCUUCCAUAGCUGAUCCGCUUACUAAAAUGACUUAGAAAAAAGUGUAGUUUGUGUGGUAUGACUUAUGUGAAAAUAGUUUUGAGAAGUUGAAGGACAAGCUGACUGCUGCUCCUGUUUUGACCCUUCCCGAGGGUGUAGAUAAUUUUUUAGUUUAUUGUGAUGCAUCCCAUGUGGGACUUGGUUGUGUAUUGAUACAGUGUGGUAAGGUGAUAGCUUAUGCAUCUCGGUAGUUAAAGGUGCAUGAGUUCAAUUACCCCACUCAUGACUUGGAGUUAGCAGCCGUGGUGUUUGCACUUAAAAUCUGGAGGCACUAUCUCUUUGGAGUGCAUGUUGAUAUUUAUACUGACCAUAAGAGUUUGUAGUAUGUUUUCUCACAGAAAGAAUUGAAUCUUAGGCAGAGGCGUUGGAUGGAGCUUUUGAAAGACUAUGAUAUGAGUCUGCAUUACCAUCCGAGCAAGGCAAAUGUUGUAGCCGAUGCCCUCAGCAGGUUAUCUAUGGGCAUCCUUUCUCAUGUAGAAGAAGGAAAGAAAGAGAUGGUGAAGGAUAUUCACCGCCUUGUAAAUCUGGGAGUGCGACUCUUAGAUUCCAAAGAUGGAGGGUUGAUUGUUCAUGAGUUAGCUAAGUCAUCCCUUUGUGCUAAAAUUAAGGAGAAGCAGGUUAAAGAUUCUAUCUUGAUGCAAAUCAAGAAAGAUAUGGGUCAAUAAAAGGUUAUGUCGUUUGAAAUUGGUAGUGAUGGUACUCUAAGAUUUCAGGGUAGGUUGUGCAUUUCAGAUGUUGAUGGACUACGGGAAAGAAUCCUUCAUGAGGUGCAUACUUCGAGGUAUGUCGUUCCCCCAGGCUCUACUAAGAUUUACCAUGAUCUAAAAACCUUGUAUUGGUGGAAUAACAUGAAACGUGAUGUAGCUUAUUUUGUGUCCAAGUGUUUGAACUGUCAACAAGUGAAGAUAGAACACAUGAGGCCAGACGAUACUUCCCAAGAGAUAGCCCUGCUUUUAUGGAAGUGGGAGAUGAUAAACAUGGACUUUAUUACAGGACUUCCGAGAUCCCGAAACUAGUAUGAUUAUAUAUGGGUGAUUGUAGAUUGGUUGACAAAGUCAGCCCACUUUUUUCCUAUGAGGACUAAUUAUUUUGGAGAGGGUUAUGCUAAGUUUUACAUUGACGAGAUAUUUCAGUUGCAUGGGGAACCAGUGUCCAUUAUAUCCGAUAGAGGUACACAUUUUUCAUCUCAGUUCUGGAGAUCUUUUCAGAAGGGUUUUGGUACACAAGUGAAUUUGAGCACAGCUUUCCACCCUUAGAUGGAUGGGCAAGCUGAGCGUACCAUUCAGACCCUCAAAGAUAUGUUGAGGGCAUGCGUCAUUGAUUUCAAAGGUAGUUGGGUAGAUCACCUGCCACAGGUUGAAUUUGCUUACAGUAAUAGUUAUCAUGCAAGCAUCAAGAUGGCUCCUUUUGACACUUUGUAUGGAAAGAGAUGUAGGUCUCUGAUAGGAUGGUAUACAGUGGGUGAAACUCAGUUGUAUGGGCCUGAUCUUAUUCAUCAAGCAAUGGAGAAAGUGAAGAUCAUUAGAGAACUACUCAAGAUUGCUCAGAGUCGUCAGAAGUCCUAUGCUGAUAUUCGGAGAAGAGAACUAGAGUUUGAAUAUGGUGAUUGGGUGUUUCUCAAGGUUUCUCCUAUGAAAGGAGUUAUGUGGUUUGGAAAAAAGGGUAAAUUGAGCCUCGCUACAUAUGGCCAUAUCAGAUUCUGAAAAAGAUUGGUACAAUUGCCUGCAAGUUUGGGUUCCGUUCAUCCAGUAUUCCAUGUAUCCUUGUUGAAGAAAUGCAUUGGAGAUCAUUCUAUGGUAUUGUCAGUAGAGGGUAUCAAAGUAAUAGACUCCUUGUAUUACAAAGAUGAGCCCGUUGAAAUUCUAGAUCGCCAAGUUCGAAAGCUGAGAAGCGAAGAGAUAGCCUCAGUAAAGGUACUGUAGAGUAAUUAGAAAGUAGAAGAAGCAACUUGGGAGUCAGAAGAUGACAUGAGAAUUAGAUAUCCCAAUUUGUUUGCUUCAAUGGAGGAUGUGAUAGAAGGUACUAUUCCUAUCUUAUCUUUCCUAGUCCUUUAUUAUGCUUGAAAUCGUGUCUAUCUGUGUCCCGCAUCAUCAUUCGGGGACGAAUGAUCCUAACAGGGGAUAAUGUAACACCCCGCAUUUUGGCCUACAAUAUAGACCACAAUUCCGAUGUGUUGAUAAACCCCAAAGCCAUAAAAUCCGAUGCCAAUACGACAUGUUAAUUAUUUGUGUAUCAUAUGAAUCCAUUCAAGCUUGAAUUUAGACCAUAGAGGUCCUUCAACUCAAGGACGAGUUGAAACUAUUUCGAUCGACUAAGUUUUAGUGGACGUUGUAAAUUGUGUCAAAUUCCAUCGACCAUAACUCUCUGUAUAUGUCAAAUUAGGUAUCCUACUAUAUGUCAAAUGAUAGGUCUUUGAGUUAGCUUUCUAAUGAUACCAAUUUUGCUAAAAUCCGACACCCGAGCAAGAAGUUAUGGCCUUUAAAAGUGAUAUGUGUCGCCUAACCAAUCGCCCACGGCCACGGGAAGGCAUAGGCGAUAGCUAGGUGACGCCUAUGUAAACAUAGGCGAUAGCCUAGACGGAGCCUAUGUAAACAUAGGCAAUAGCCUAGGCGGCGCCUAUGUGAACAGAGGCGAUGGAAUGGGUGGCGCCUAUGUAAAGAAUUCAAGUGACUUAAACACUUCGUUUUUGGGGUAAAAUGGUCCUUUUCCACCCUUGCUUAGCCCUAAAACACGAAAUACAGUUCCAAGGACCCCAAAAUACACCUUUAUUUAUCAAAAGUGCGCAAGGAUUCUCCUUAGGAUUUCAAAAUAAAAACCCAAGCAACUCAAGAUUCAACCGGGGGUUUUACGAACUAAUUGCAUAUUUGGAAUCCUCUCAGCGUAGGCUUCAAGAAGCAUCUAAUAUUCAUAGUAAUCGAGGCAUGUGGGGUUAUCCUAAAAUCUUAUGGGUGUAGUUUUUAUGAACAUGCAUUUUUUCAAAUAGGAGUUUUCAAUCAAUGCUAAUAGCUUGCUUUCAAUAUGAUUUCUAAGUCAUUUUUCUUUAUGUCAUGGGAAUUGUUUGCCUAUAUACUUCAAUGGUUGAAACUAUGCAUGAGUGAUUUGAGAUUUUCCAUGGAAAUUUGGUAAAUAUGAAUGAUAAAUUGCUUUCAAAUUCCCAUGAUAAUGUCCUUAUACCCCAUAUCAUAUUGUGACCAACAAAAGAGAGCAUGAAUUUGAAAUAAUUAUUGUUCACCACUUGUAAAUGAUGAAGCACCUUGGUUUUUACAUGAUUAUGCAUAUGUGGAUGUGAUAUUGAUGACUUGCAAGUAGGGUAUGACG
rnacentral:lncRNA from 1 species